GAUGAACGCUGGCGGCGUGCCUAAUACAUGCAAGUCGAGCGAACAGACGAGGAGCUUGCUCCUCUGACGUUAGCGGCGGACGGGUGAGUAACACGUGGAUAACCUACCUAUAAGACUGGGAUAACUUCGGGAAACCGGAGCUAAUACCGGAUAAUAUAUUGAACCGCAUGGUUCAAUAGCGAAAGACGGUUUUGCUGUCACUUAUAGAUGGAUCCGCGCCGCAUUAGCUAGUUGGUAAGGUAACGGCUUACCAAGGCAACGAUGCGUAGCCGACCUGAGAGGGUGAUCGGCCACACUGGAACUGAGACACGGUCCAGACUCCUACGGGAGGCAGCAGUAGGGAAUCUUCGGCAAUGGGCGAAAGCCUGACGGAGCAACGCCGCGUGAGUGAUGAAGGUCUUCGGAUCGUAAAACUCUGUUAUUAGGGAAGAACAAAUGUGUAAGUAAAUAUGCACGUCUUGACGGUACCUAAUCAGAAAGCCACGGCUAACUACGUG
rnacentral:rRNA from 1 species